AUGUUUAUGAAUGAAAGAAGGGAAAUAGAUGAAGUAUUUCUUCAACAGGGUCCUAUUCUGAAACACAACUUACCUGUUGAAAUCCUAGGGGAUCCCCCUCCACCCAAGGGUGAUCCUGUGUUUGAGCUUAAACCAUUACCUGAUAAUCUUAAGUAUGCUUAUCUUGAUAAAAAGAAAAUAUAUCUUGUUAUUAUUAGUUCUAACCUUUCGGAGCAAGAAGAAGAAAGAUUAUUGAAAACUCUGAAAAAGCACCAUGCUGCUAUUGGAUAUACUCUGGAUGAUCUUAAGGACAUUAGUCCCACUCUAUGCCAACACAAAAUUAAAGUGGAAAAAGAUGCCAAACCAGUUAGGGAUCCUCAACGACGAUUAAAUCCUAAGAUGAAAGAAGUGGUAAGAAAGGAGAUACUAAAGCUCCUUGAGGCAGGUAUAAUUUAUCCCGUUGCUGAUAGUGAAUGGGUAAGUCCUGUCCAUUGUGUUCCUAAAAAGGGAGGUAUUACUGUCAUUCCUAAUGAUAAAGAUGAAUUGAUCCCGCAAAGAAUUAUUACAGGUUAUAGGAUGGUAAUUGAUUUCCGUAAAUUAAAUAAAGCCACUAAUAAAGAUCAUUACCCUUUACCUUUUAUUGAUCAAAUGCUAGAAAGACUAUCCAAACAUACACAUUUAUGCUUUCUAGAUGGUUAUUCUGAUUUCUCUCAAAUACCUGUGUCAGCGGAGGAUCAAUCAAAAACUACUUUUACUUGCCUUUUUGGUACUUUUGCUUAUAGACGUAUGCCUUUUGGUUUAUGUAAUGCACCUGCUACCUUUCAAAGAUGCAUGAUGGCUAUAUUAUCUGACUUUUGUGAAAUGAUUUGUGAGGUAUUCAUGGAUGAUUUCUCUGUUUAUGGAUCCUCUUUUGAUGAUUGCUUAAGCAACCUUGAUCGAGUUUUGCAAAGAUGUGAUGACACUAGUCUCGUCUUGAAUUGGGAAAAUUGCCAUUUUAUGGUUAAUGAAGGCAUUGUCUUGGGGCAUAAGAUUUUCGAGAGAGGUAUUGAAGUUGACAAAGCUAAAGUUGAUGCUAUUGAAAAGAUGCCAUAUCCCAACGACAUAAAAGGUAUAAGAAGUUUCCUUGGUCAUGCCGGUUUUUAUAGGAGGUUCAUUGAGGACUUUUCUAAAAUUCUCUAG
rnacentral:rRNA from 1 species